UUAUUGGUGUUUUUGCGAACUGGAACUCCAUUUAGCUUUGUAUUUUAAUGCUCUUUCGAGAUAGCUGGACAAUCUGGUAUGUAGAUAGCUGCUUCCAUGCUUAUUUGUCUUCCAAGAUGUACCAACAUGUGGUUUCGAUGUUCUUGUUUCUCUUUACUCUAAUUUAUGUGUAAAUUGUGCACACCAUAUGUUUGCUAAUAUGCCUAUGAAAAUAGAAAUAGAAAAUUCGCAGUUUUUUUUCCUUUACUUCAAAAUAUAUAUUAAAGUAAUCUGAUUGCAAAAAUACCCCCAGUUGGAUCGUGAGAUGUAGUUCUAAUGACCAUUGGAAAUUAUGCUCCCUUGAAGUUAUGUUUUGACAUUAUUUUCUGGUGAUGCUUAAUUUGCAUUUGUUUUGUUUUCUAUUCAAUUUGUGUUUUCCAUUUGACAUGUUAUUUUCUUGUUGUAAACAUUCUAAUAGUUCGUUUCCAAUUAUUAUUAUUUUUUUUCCUCAUUUUAUUUGGCAGGCUUUGGCCAAAACAUUGACAGUGGAUGAGCUAAGUUAUUUGAAGGAGCAGUUUGUGCUAUUGGAACCAAACAAAAGUGGCACCCUAAGCUUGGACAAUGUUAAAGCGGCCUUGAUGAAAAGUGCAACAGAUGCUAUGAAGGAGUCUCACAUCCUUGAAUUUCUUACAUCAGUAUGUGCUUUGAUUGUGAUGGUGGAUGUGCAAUCAACAAUUGUUUCCCCUAUGGUGUUCUAAUUUUUGGAGUGAAAUUGUUUUCUCUUCUUUUGUGACAGCAUGAAACGGUUUGAUUUCUAUAGCAUGUCUUCUUUGCUCUUCAAUGAUUGAAGUGGGUUUUCAAAAGGUCUCUACCUAGCUGCGGUGAAAAAAUGCAUAUUCCAAAAAAUAGAGAACGAGGUGUCAGGUUAGCGUUUCCUGUCAUACUUAUUGGUUCUAUUUGAUUGACAACAGUUACUUUUGAGUCUGUUAGUUGGUGUUUACUAAUGCAACAUUUAUGUGGUCUAUUUUGGUUAAGCAAUUUGCAAGAUCUUGUUACUGUUAGCUUUCUUUUGUUCAAUUGUUUUGAUCCUGAUCAAUCAAGACUGAUGUUAAUUAUUAAUAAUUGUGAGAUGGUGAAUUAAUUCAGUAUUUGUGAUCUAUCAUUUAUGAACCCUUUGAUGAUAAACAAAGGCCUUUUUUGUUCUUCUUUUAACUUGUCCAAUGCUAAUGUUUUUACAUUGUUUUGCCCUGCUUUCGAUUUCUAAAGCUUCAAGUGCCCUAAAAAAAUUGACCCUUUUUUCUUGAUGAUACUGCAAUUUACAUUGGAUAUUAAUGUGAUGGUUCCAUUUUUCUGAAAAACUCUUCUCUAAUUUGAUAUGAAUCUUUACUGCAUUUUGUGCGUGUGAGUGUCUUCAAAUUUUCAACUUGAGAAAAUGGUGAAUGCUACAACAAAUGAAUCCAUGGAUAAGAGAUGUAUUGAUUUCACAUUGCAUGGGCCUUUUAGCUGGCUGUAGUACAGAAAGUGAGCCAAAUUGGAUUGCCAUAUACUUAUGCUGCCAUAGAGAGCAUUAAUUAAAACUUCCUGUGAAAAUAACUUCAAGUUUUCUCUUUUUUGGGGUUUUUGUCUAUAUUUUUUCUAGAGAACAUUUGAGAGAUAUAUAUAAAAAAAAA